rnacentral:rRNA from 1 species
GACAGAGGCCUCAAGCGUUAGGCGGAAUCACUGGGCUUAAAGCGUGUGUAGGCGGAUCGUUAAGUGUCUUGUGAAAUCCCACGGCUCACCCGUGGAACUGCUGGGCAUACUGGCGGUCUUGGGCCAACUAGGGGCAACUGGAACAAGCGGUGGAGCGGUGAAAUGCGUAGAUAUCGCUUGGAACGCCAAAGGUGAAAACAGGUUGCUGGGGUUGUGCCGACGCUGAG